AAAAAAAACGGAUGUUUUUUUUCUCAUUUUAAGCAAAAUAUCAAGAACUUGUUGGAACAUUUCUUGUUUGUAUACUUUGUAUACACUUCCUUCUAUCUACAUGUUACAUAAUGAACAGCGAUUCCGUAAUGGAAUUCCGGAUAUAGUUUUUCUGGUGGUUCUAUAUUCAACGUAAAAACAUUUUGACCAGAACCGGCUUUGAAAUAUGUAUGUACAUGUCCGGCAGGAAAUUCAUGUAGAAAACGAGACCACUCCAUUGAGAGACCUUUCGAAGCGUUGCUUUUUUGGCCCGAUUUUUGGAAUGUUCCAUCCAUUUUUAAUUUUCUGUUUCCACACAGCCUAGUUUACGGUUCUCACCCACAAAAUUCGCGAAAAAAUUAUUUUCGACGGAACGCGAUUUCUUAAGAUUUUACAUGGUCUGCCAUGGUUCUCUUGUAAUAGAACUUCAAAAUUACGUGGACCUAUAAUUGCUUGGAUGACAAAAGGUUUCAUCACAUGACGGAUAACCAAUCCCAAUUUUGUCGAUCCUGUGUCUAAAGCCAAUACCCAAAAAUUAAAGCGUUUGUGGCGGGAUAUGAGAUCUACUUUUCCGCAUUAUGGAAGGAAAAGGGAGGAUUUUGAAGGCUACCUGGCGCGUUUCUCCUUCCUGAAGAAAUCAAUUUAUACAAUCCAAGGAUAAAGUUAUUUUAUAUAUGUUAAAAAAAAUAAAAUAAAAAUAGUCCCAAACAAAUUAGGCAUAAAUUUAAAAAAAGA